UUAGAUUAGAUUUGAUAUGUCAUAUCUUGUAAAUCCCUAAAAUAAAGGGAUACGGUUAAUCUCGUCCGUCGAUGUAAAUGUAUCUUGACCGUCGGUUUUGGGGGAGCUCAACUAUAAAUAGAGAGCCUCCCCCUCAUUUGUACUCACUCCAUUCAUUAUUUCAUUACUCUUUGUGAAUAAGAGAAUUGAGAGCAUUUACUCAAA
rnacentral:lncRNA from 1 species